GUGAAUCAUCAAAUUUUUGAACGCAAAUUGCACUCUCCUCGGAGUGUAUGCCUGUUUGAGGGUCAGCAUAUAAAACAUCGAUAUCGUUGCUCUUUCGCGGUGGCGGUCGUCGGAAAUUGGGUCAUCUUAAAUCUUUUGGUUUUAAGCGACUUAAAAUUUUCUUUUUGGUUCCAUGAACGUUUCUAAGAUUUAUUUCUUUACACGUUUAAGGUAUCGAUUUUUAUUAGACGUGACCAUCAUAUCGGACCUCGCCCAGAAUUUUU
rnacentral:misc_RNA from 1 species